UGCUGUCUCACAAUAGGGACGAAUAGCUUUCUUUUUCUUCACAUGGGGAAGAAAGACAAAGCAAAUAACAACCGCCUGGCCUAUUCAGUGGGUGUUUUUAUCGUGCAGCUUCUCCUGCACACAGCAGGAAAUGUCAGCAAGUUUUGCUAUAGCCCCAAAAAUCUGAUUUUCUCUGUCUUAUUUUAUGACAGAAAAAAGACCAGAAGGUGCGGGAGACAUGUGGGAGGCAGAUGGCGUCAUCAAAAGGACCCAUGAAAAAAUAUAAACUCUGUAUUAACAAAGUGAUGGACUUUGCACACAGGCUAGGAUUAAAGAAGAGCAUACCAGCGACUGCCAACACAAGUUCUGUGAUAGCCUAAUAAGCUCAAAGAGAACUCGUUAAUUAGGGUGACCAUAUGAAAAGGAGGACAGGGCUCCUGUAUCUUUAACAGUUGUACUGAAAAGGAAAUUUCCUCUUCAUCACAACUGUUAAAGCUGCAGGUGCCCUGCCCUCUUUUAAAUCUGGUCACUCUAGUAUAGCUCCUGCACCUUUAACUGUUGUGAUGAAGAGGGGAUUUCCCCAGGUUCUCCAUAUAUACAAAUGACACCUGCUGAAAUUCCCUUUUCUAUGUACCUUUUAAAGGUACAGGAGCCCUGUCCAUUAUCCUAUGUUAAUGGACUACCUGGGAUUCUUUAAUUAUUGAACAUUCUGAAACUAUUGCAUCUCUUUUGAUAAGCCUGCUCAAUGAAGAAAGAUCUCUGCUCCAAUAGGAUGUAGGCCAACAAUAUAUUAAGAAAUUACAUCAUUAAGAGCAAAAGGAUUUGAGCUAGAUCACUUGUAAGUCUUUAAUAAACAAAUAAAAACAAAUGUUUAGGAAGAAGGGCCAAGAGAAACAUAAAUCUUAUCCUAAUAGACAGAUGCAAAGGGGAUAUAAUCUGCAAAAGCAUGUUACAGUAUCUUUUACUAUAUCAGAUAAUUGAUGGCAGUUUUCUGGCUAUGAGAAAUAUUUGCUCACUGUGAGCCUGGCACAGCCAAGUAAAAAAACCUGGGUGUAACCAGCCUUAGGAGUAAUGACCUUUCACUGUUUUGUCUGCCAGCCUUCUAAGUAAUCCUAGAACACCCCCCACCCCAGCCACCCCCGUUAAUGCUAUGAACUAGCUGUGAGUGAUGGGACAACUGGCCUGUCUGCUCAGACGUAAAACGGCUGCUUCAUAUUCUCCUUUGAGGCAUCCCUUGGAUGCUUUGUACUCUUGAGAUAUUUUUGUUUGAAUCCUGAUCCAGACAUCUGAGAAAACUGUAGCAUUCAUGGCUCUUCCCUUCCUCCCCAAGAAUAGGGAGAUGAUCAGCAAACAGGGGAAGAGUUGUCUGCAUUACAUCUCCGGAUCAGGCCGAAGAAUUUUCCACUGGGCCUGAUCCAGUGGGCAGAGGGAUUUUCUGCACCAGCAGUAACCCUCUGUAUGUGUGGUGAGUGAAAUCUGUAUGUGGAAUAUAGAAAGCUCCCCUAUACAAGUUGGCUGAGUUUGGAUGAUCAGCAGGGGAAACAACGCAGUGUCAGUUGUUGCUCCAGCACUCACCGGUCAUGCAACCAGGGGGGCAGAUCUACACUACUGCUUUAAAGUGCUUUAUAACAGUUUUGACAACUGUUGGGGCCCAGGACACGCUCCAUAUACAGUUUUCAAAACGUUUUCAAAGUGCUUUAAAGCGCUUUAAAAGCAGUAGUGUAGAUUCCCCUCAGGAUUACUCUAAUUACCCACGCCACAUUGUGGGUUGCUGUGUCAUCCGAACCCAGCACACAGGGACAAAUGGGACCAGCAGGGGUGGCAGCCAGUGCAGUGUAGCGGUUAGGACUGAGGAGAUUCUGGUUCAAGUCCCCACUUGGGCAUGAAGCUCAUUGGGUGACUUUGAGGCAGUCACUCUUAGGCUAACCUAACUAAUAGGGUUGUUGUGAGGAUAAAAUGACAGGAGGAUCACCUUGUAAGCCACCUUGGGUUUCUUGCAAGAGGAAAAAAGGUGGGAGGAUGAUGAUGAUGAUGAUGAUGAUGUGAGGGUUCCCCCUCAUACAAUUGUUCCUCACAUUUAACCAUGUGAGGAAGAAAACCCAAAGAGAGCUAUAAUGUCACACUUUUUCCUGACUUUUCUAACGAGAGCUGUGAAGUAAACAUUACCUCAAACACAA